UACGUAGGGGGCAAGCGUUGUCCGGAUUUAUUGGGCGUAAAGAGCGUGUAGGCGGCCAUACAGGUCAGCUGUGAAAACUCGAGGCUCAACCUCGAGACGUCGGUUGAAACCAUCUGGCUAGAGUCCGGAAGAGGAGAGUGGAAUUCCUGGUGUAGCGGUGAAAUGCGCAGAUAUCAGGAAGAACACCCGUGGCGAAGGCGGCUCUCUGGGACGGUACUGACGCUGAGACGCGAAAGCGUGGGGAGCGAACAGG
rnacentral:rRNA from 1 species